CCAGUAUUUAAGCAUUAUACUUGCUAACACUGAGAGCUUAAUUAUCUUUGAUGCAACCAGUCCGUCCAAGCAUCCAAAUAGUUGAUUUGGGAUGUAGAGAUUAAAGAACAGUAGGGCGUCAGGUUCAGAAUUGCCUUGGCAUCUUCCAGUGUGGGACGAUGUUGAUUGUCGGGAUUUGAAGAUAAGUGUGCCCCAUACCGUGGCUGAGCCUGUCGGUUUCGCACAGUGGCUGCACGACACCUCAUGGACCCGAUGUGAAGGACAAGUAAGCCAUCCACACGAAGUCGGCGGCAGCAAGGGUGUGGGGCGUCGGGAGGAGCAUCUGGGUUGAAGGUUCUGGCCCUCGCCAUUGAGACUACCGUGUUCGUCGCCGAGUACAUCUGGGGAAGGUGGAGCUGCGAGGAAACAAGACAGGUGGACAAUGCGACAGGAAGCAAGAAUGAAUUUCUAAUCAAUCUACUGUUUCCCUUGAGUCGGGGGGAACGUACCACGCACCACGUUGUGUUUAUUGAUCUGGAAUCCUAGAGGAUCACCCACCCUCGUAAUUCAGUAUUGAGAUGAUCUCCUUAAUUUCUCAAAUGUGUUUUAUUAAAUUGGAUUCCUGUAAUUAUCCUUGCUCUAAUUUGAUAGUUUUA